UGGUUGCUGUCUGUUUCUGACGAAGGCCAUUCUAGAAAGGUGCCCUGGAACUGAAGGGGUGUCAGAUGGGGGAGCCGACGCUGUCACUGAAGCAAUGUUGUUGGCGUUUUCUGGUCACAGAUUUGCUACGGCAGCACAUUUAGAGGACUGUGGAUACCAGUGGAUGGGAAGAAACUGAGCAGACAUCCUAGAAGCUAAACAUUUCCUGGAACAUUAGCAGAUCUUAUUGUACCAAACUCACUCUUGUGAUGAUGUGAGAUGGUAAAAUGCCUACACGAUGAGAUGAGUGAGGUGAACGAGGCAGGCCUUGUGACAUAGCGUUAGGCUACUAUUGACCUUCAGCGACAGGAGAAAGUCUCACUGUUGACCUUCAGAAGGAGGAUCAUCUGCUCCUGGACCACGGCCGACCACGGAUCGCUGCUGACCAUGGGUAACUAAAACCUCAGAAAGCAAAACCAUGGAGAAGGGGGCAUUACUGUAGUAAUGAAUAGUAGCAUCUUGGGGCCAGAAGGGACCUUAGAGUUCAUCUGACCCAAAUGUUUGUUUCAGGAGAGGAGGAAACUGGCUCCCCCACACGUGAGCUUCCCCUGCCUCUGCCUUGAGGAUGUGGCUGCCAGGCAAGCCAUGUGGAAUAGAAAAUCAAUUGGAGUGUCAUGAAGAGGAUAUUCCCUGAAGAAGAUUGCUGGUGACAGUGGAUUUGUCACCCACCUUACUUUCUUUUACUGAACAAUUGGAAUUUCCUCCACAGUGAGUGAGACCCGGUAUUAUUACAGUGUCUGAAUUCAGGCAGGCCUUUUAUGGACGAGCCAAGUUUUCAUUCCAUUGUCUCGCUGUCAUUGGCUCAUCUGAUCUCCACACUGGUUAAUUUGUUUCAAAUCCCUUCAUAUUGAUCUAAUAAA